rnacentral:rRNA from 1 species
UACAGAGGGUGCGACCGUUGUUCGGAAUUACUGGGCAUAAAGCGCACGUAGGCGGUUCUGUAAGUGCGGAGUGAAAUCCCACGGCUCACCCGUGGAACAGCUCCGCAUACUGCAGGACUCGAGGACGGUAGGGGAGAGCGGAACUCCUGGUGGAGCGGUGAAAUGCGUAGAUAUCAGGAGGAACACCGGCGGCGAAGGCGGCUCUCUGGUCCGUUACUGACGCUGAGGUGCGAAAGCCAGGGGAGCAAACGGG